GGAGGGGUGGCAGAGUGGUUGAAUGCACCGGUCUUGAAAACCGGCAUACCGCAAGGUAUCGAGGGUUCGAAUCCCUCCCCCUCUGCCA
rnacentral:tRNA from 1 species